GCUACCUGCUCCUACUUUCUUUGUCAGAUCAUGCAGAGGAAGAGGGGAAUAAGAUUUGCUUCAUAACUUGCUUCUACAUGACAGAUCCCUCCAGAGCUAUAAGUAUAUCUAAAGCUUGCUGACAGAAAACGGAUGGCUAAUUCAUUCAUCACAAGCACUAGGCAGUAACAGAGGCUAUCUACUGGUGCAGAAAAAUCUCUUAACUAUUCACAGUGGACUUUCAGAUUUGACAUUUGCCUAUAGGAAACUGUAAGUAGCACAUUGCCUGGAACCACUGGCUGCUGUAAUGCUGUUAACUGGUUUGGAUCUCAACAAAAGAAACCUGCAGAAGAUGUGUGUGCAUGUGUGCACAUAUAACAGCAGUUUUAGGAAGCAGUGUGAUAAAAGUUGUGCAUUACCAGUGCUAACAAAAUGAGCAUAACAGGCUGAUAUCUGUUGGAAAACAGAAAAAAAUGGACAUUACCUCAUAAAGGAUAUUGUAGCAUUCCCAUGUAGGCAUCUUUUAAUGCUCAACCCAAUUUACUGCAUUUCCAUUUCUGUGAGCUUGAGAAUACUUCCUCACAUCCCCCACCCAAGAGCUGCUGUGCUGUGGUGCAGGAGUAUGUAAGAGCUCUGCAAUAUGCCUCAGAGUUAAUGAAAACAAUGGCCACUUGCUGUAUGUUGUAAAAAGCUUUCACAGCUUGUGAAGAUGGGCACGGAAGUUCAGGCUGAGCUGAAAACAUGCAUCUGCAGGAGAAAAUUGCGAGGUCUUUAGUAAUUGCAUUGAGUUGGUUGUAUUUUUUAAUGAUAGCUGUCAAGUGCUUGUGGAAAACUGUGGUUUAUAAUAUUUCCUAAUGUGUGAGCAAUAGAGCAGAGUGGGGACUGUAGCACCUUAUUUAUUUCCCAGGUGAACCCCAAGACUCAUUCCACUGGACAGCAUAGUAAGUUUGCUGAUGAAAGGGCUUACUGUUUUUUCAUUCUUGAUAUUGUAAUGUAAUAAAAGUUGAUGAAGACUCUGGAACUUGUCCUACAGCCCGCAAGAGCUGCAAGACACCUGUAAACUUUAUCUCUCUUCAUGUCUCUUCAUGUCCUGGGAGAGAGCUCUCCUGUACAGCCUUCCCUACAAGUGUACUGUGUAAAACAAAGGCUCUAAGCUGAGCCGGCAUCCUUCCUGUCUUUGCCUAAAGAACCCUCAUUGGAGCUUCUUUCCUUUGGAUGCUGACUCUGGGUGAUGUUUUCGUGGGAGGGUGGGUGCUUGCAGUUGGGAGUGGGGGUGGAGGGCUGUGGUGGGGCUUGGGGCUCAGGUUCUGUGGUGGAUUCAAAGGGGUAGCAGGUGCUAUAUCUAAUCUUCUGGUUUAAUGGUAUAUGCCUGUGAUAUGGCCAUUGCUAUGUUUUGUUUCUAAUUACCUUAAUAAACCAUAGUGAGUUAACACAUUAA
rnacentral:lncRNA from 1 species